rnacentral:lncRNA from 10 species
ACAGAGGCUUCCCCAGUUAAGUCUGUUUACCCAACUUCAAUUAACUAACCUUUGAGCCAGAUGGCCUUCUCUGGGGAGGUCUACCAAGGAUAUUGCCCCCUAAUGGUAUUUGUUACACGCGUCCCUGUGAAGAGACCACCAAACAGGCUUUGUGUGAGUAACAAGGCUGUUUAUUUCACCUGGGUGCAGGUGGGCUAAGUCUGAAGAGAGUCAGCAAAGGGUGGUGGAUUAUCAUUAGUUCUUAAAGGUUUUGGGAUAGGCGGUGGAGUUAGGAGCAAUGUUUUGUGGGCAGGGGGUGGAUCUCACAAAGUACAUUCUCAAGGGUGGGGAGAACUACAAAGAACCUUCUUAAGGGUGGGGAGAUUACAAAGAACCUUCUUAAGGGUUGGUGAGAUUACAAAGUACAUUGAUCAGUUAGGGUGGGGCAGAAACAAAUCACUGUGGUGGAAUGUCAUCAGUUAAGGCUAUUUUCACUUCUUUUGUGGAUCUUCAGUUGCUUCAGGCCAUCUGGCUUAGCUUGGGCUGAGAGGCCUGAUAGUAUUUACCUGAGACCGUGGUACCUGAGUUUUAAUCAUUCCUAGAACUACUCUCUUAACCAUGUUAAUUAUCCACAAGUGUGUUUACUCAAGUUUACUCAAAGUGUGUUUACUCAAGUUUACUCAAAGCUUCUGUUGUUAAUUGUAUACUAAAUAAAUGCCUGGAGUUCGAGCUGCUCAGGGCCGUCCACAGUGACAAACCUCUCUAGGUGUGCAGGCGGCUGGACACUCAGCUGGACUGGCAAAACAGAAUAUCUGUGUGUCAGUGUACGUUUUAUUCAUCUGUCGUUUGGGUCAGGGUCUGAGGGCAGACCCCGCGGCUAAUGCCUUCACGUGUGAGGAGCAAUACCUCAGCUGGUGGCCUGUGUGAGGAAACCCGUGUGAGGAAAGCCCUGUGAGGAAAGCCGUGUGAGGCCAGUCAGGGGUCUGCAGAAACAGACUCCCCGCAGUUGGAGCCCCUCCUGAGGCAAGCUGCCUAGGAAGAGUGAGGACUGCCCUCAUGAGGAAAGCUGCGAAGGAAGCGUGAAGGAAAAGCGACGGACCCCCCGGAAAACAAAGGUGAAGAAAGGAACCGCGCGGUCAAGUCAGUGAGUAAUCAGCAAGUCAUUGGUGCCCACUCAAAGUUACCAAGUUCUGGGGGAAGUUGGGUCAAGCUGAGUUUUCAUCAUGGGACCACAGUUAUUAGCACAGCAGAAACAUUAUAUGAAAGUAUUAAAACAGUUACUUAAGGCUAGCGGAGCCUCAGUUUCACAGGCUCAAUUAAGGGACCUAAUCAUCCAUGCUAGACAAACUGUUGCAAUGCAAACUCUUGUGAUCCCAAGCCCGUGGUUCCCGGAAGAAGGAACGCUAGACGUAGAACUCUGGGAACAAAUGGGGAGAAAUCUUAACAUGUGCAAAGGCAACAGGUCCCAGUAACAGCUUUAACGUUAUAGGCUUUAAUUAGAGCAGCCUUAGCUCUGUUACACGCAGAAGAGCCUAAAAAGAGCAAGGAGGAGAAAAUGUCACCUGCCUUAUCACCUCCUCUUCCCUCCACCCUAAUAUCACCGGGCCGAAAUAACAGAGGAAACGGGGGUUUAUACCUGAGCCUCCUCCUCCAAUAGAUAGGAAAAAAGACCUAGGAUAUGCUACAGCUAUCAGUCCCUGUCUUAAGCGGGCAGCAUUAGAAGCAGAGCUCUUACUCUGCCCAGUAAUGCAGAAUCGGCAAGGCAAUCAGGUGUAUGUUUAUAAAAAGAUAAGAAAAAAGGCAUUAGGAGCCGAAAGCCGUGCAGCCGAGCAAGCAGUAAAUAAAAAGAAAGGCUCGGCAGCCCGGAAGUUCACAGAAACAGAGCCAGCACAGGCAAAAGGCAGCGCUUUUACAAGAGUAAAACAGCUACCGCCCAGGGACCCGCCGGCUCAGCUCUCUAGCUCUGCAGGUGACCCAAGGCAAGUGCUCCUUGUUUACAAGCGACAUCCCAGAUUAUAAUUCUCUGCUAAAAUUUAAGUAAAAUGUAAGAAUUUGAAAAACCUCUUUUCUGAUAAUGGCCACUGUUGCUCUCUCUCUCCUACCCCUGACGUAGCUCUCCAAAUCCAAUUUAGGUAAAACAGUAACCUCUGAAGGGAGAGAGAUUACAGAAGGCCGAUGAAUUAGUUAAAGAGUAGUUAAAAGCUAGGCAUGUAAAACCACACAUUACCCUUUAAAGGAGAACUUUAAACCUAACUAAAUCAUAUUUGUUAAAUUAGAAGAAAAGUUGUAUGUAAGUGUAGUGAAAGCAUAUGCAUGAAUGACUGUCGUAACCCACUGAUUAGAUAGUCUUUUGAUUUCUACUUGCUAAAAGAGUCCUGAAUUCAGUUUCCCAACUACUGGGUCACUGUUUUCAAGACUGUUGGCCAGAUUAAAGUCCAUAAACUUGAUCAGCUUGAAAACUCAAUUGCAAGAUUUAAGCUGUUCUGCCUGUGGCUUUAAGCACAUGGUUAAAGUAUAUUAUUUAAGUUUCUGCUUCUAGAGAUGCUUUCAGAUUUUCUUUUUAAAUUUCAUGUUACUUAUUUCAACUUGCCAUCUUAAUGAUUAAUGCAGUCAAUUGCUAAGUUAUAACCCUGAUAUCAUCAGGAUUCCUUUAAGUAAAAGGUAAUUCGAAGCGGUAUUGCACUUCCCCAUACCUAAUGCUUUAACACUGUUUACUGAUGGGUCUGGUAAACAUGGAAAAGCGGCAGUCUAGUAGAGACCACACAAUUCCAUCACUCAGAGUUUACUAGCACUCAGAGAGCUGAGGUUACUCUGUUUAUUUAUUAAAGAACUUUUACAGCAUGAAGUUAGCUCUGGAGACCACUCUGUGUGCUCUUUUUCUCCGACUUCAGCAAUUGCUACACCAACGUACACAUCCUGUUUUUAUUACACACAUUCGAGCCCACAGCUCUCUGCCUGGCCCAUUGGCUUAUGGCAAUGAUCAAGCAGCUCUUCAGGUUGUAACAUCACUGCUAGACCAAGCCACCCAAUUGCAUCAAUUUUUCUACUAAAAUUAGAGAAACUCAUCUUAAACAACUUCAACUUAUACAGAGAUUGGCUAAACAAAUUAUCUGACGGUGCCCAGAUUGCCAGCUCACAGGCACAGCCCCUCUUUCAACAGGUGUUAACCCUAGAGGAUUGGAACCUAAUCAGUUGUGGCAAACAGAUGUUACAUCCCUAAAUUUGGGAAACUAAGAUAUAUACAUGUAUCCGUUAAUACCAACACUCACCUAAUUAGUGCACAUUAAAAAGAGAAAUAAAGGGAAAGAAUGAGUAAGAAAGAGACUAGAAAAGACAGAUCAGAGACAGACACAAAAAGACUAAGGAGAGAAAGUAGGAAGAAAGGAAAGAAAUAUUAAAGUUACAGAUAUAAGAAUGCACCUUUAGUAAGGAAGGUUAUAAAACAUAGUCAGAAAGUUAAGCCAUGUUAAAGAUUGUCUGUGAAAGUUGUGAAGAAUGUUAUGAAAAGGAAUUUAUGCAGGAAAUAUAUAAUUUUUGUUUUGAAGGUCUAAACAAGUUUUAAAACGUUAAUUGUAAAAAAAAUUCUGUGUGUAAACAUAUUGGCUAAAAUAAAAAAGGUAUCAUCCAGUUUUUCUGUAAACUAGACAUUAAAGUACAACAAGUUUUUCUUAAAACACUAACCUGCUCUUUAAAGACUGUAAAAAGUCUCUCAGCACAGGCACCACCCCUAGAAUUUCCAGUACACCAGCACCAGCCUGGAGACUACAUUCUUAUCAAAGGAUGGAAAGAAGAAAAAACUCAAGCCAGCCUGAGAAAAGACAUACAGGACCCGCAGCCUCAACAAUGUGGCUUCCGAAGACAACACAGGUCCCAGGCAUUAUGCUAAAGAAGGAAAAGUCUAAGCCAGAUAAUUUAUUCAUUUUAAAUUCUCUCACUUUACCUACUACCUAUACCUGCUACACUCUAUUAAGCUCAUCCCUUAAAUCUGCCUUUUUUCAGUCCUAUCAUCUAGGCAGACACUCCCUUUCCAGCUUCUAACAAUAUCUACGUGUCAAUGUAUGUUUUAUUCUUCUGUCAUUUGGGUCAGGGUCUGAGGGCAGACCCCUGCAGCUAAUGCCCUCAAGUGUGAGGAGCAAUACCUCAGAAAACUAUCCCAAAACCUACUUUACUCCACCUGUUGCUACUUUUCUGAGGAAAAAGUACUGAGUAAUUAUGAUGAACUGUCACUUAAAAAGUCAAGUUUGGUUGAAUUAUAUACAUCUACUUUAGCAUUAUGCUUAUGAAUAUUAACAUCUGAAGCAAAAUGCAUAUAUGUUGUUAAUUAUAAUUAUAAACAUAAAGCAUUGUGAUGUAAAUCUACACUUACGGGAAAUGAUCAUUACAAAGCAAAAAGGCAGGAACCGAAAACCAUGGGACUGAUAGCAAAACAUCCUUUCUGAAAAUUAGGGGAAUUCUAACUAUUUAUGUACAGUUAACAUUGCACGCAGCCAGACUUCUUUGUAGGAUACUAAUUUAGAGUAAUCACUAAACCCUAUUAAUGUGCUAAUUUUAGUUUAUUAAAACAAAUUUUCAGUAAUCCUUAAUAACUCACAGACAAUUAGGUUUGGGAGACAACUAGUUUGGGAGGAGGAAGUCAGAGCCAACUAAGAAUUCCUGAAAAAAUAACAAGAGCAACUCUGUAUUUAUAAUUUAAAAUUCUUUGUGAAAUUUCCACUGCCUAUUUUCUUGAAAUUAUGUUUUACAUAUCCGUGUUUCUCCUUACCAGUCUCUCUCGUUAAAUCAUGGAAUUUGAGUGUCUGUUCAUUUAUUUAUUUUUUUUACUUUUCAUUGGUGUAUUAUAUUUACUAAGUUAACACAUUUUAAAUGUACAGUUGAAAGAAUUUUUACAUACUCCCCGUGUAACUCCUGUGUUAACCAUCUAUAAGAGAAACACAGAUGUGUAAAACGUAAUAUCAACAUACAGAAUAUAUCCAGUAACCCAAAGUCUCCCUAUGCCUCCUUCCAAUCAACAUUUCUUCAAAGGUAGGCAGUAUUUUUUUUUUUUUUUUUUUUGAGAUGGAGUCUCAUUCUGUCGCCCAGGCUGGAGUGCAGUGGCGCUAUCUCGGCUCACUGCAAGCUCCACCUCCCGGGUUCACGCCAUUCUCCUACCUCAGCCUCCCGAGUAGCUGGGACUACAGGCGCCCAGUAGACAGUAUUUUUAUCUCUGUCACCAUUAGUUUUUUCCUGUUCUGGGUGUCAUAAUAAUGGAAUCAGAGAGUAUGUUUUCUUCAUGUCAGCUUGUCUCACUCAACAUUAUGUCUCUGAAAUUCCUCCAUGUGUUGCCACUUUGUAGCAGUGGCUCAUUUUUUUCUGUGUAGUAUUACUUUGUAUGAAUAUGCCAGAAUUUAUCAAUUCAACUACUGAUGAAUUUUUUUCAUUCCUUUGGUAAAUAUGAAUAGUUACUAUGGAUAUUCUUAUAGGUGUUUUUGGUAGACAUAUGCACUCAUGUCUCUUGACUAUAGUCCAAGCAAUGGAAUUGUUGGGUCAUAGGAUAGGUGUUUGUUUAGCUGCAGUAAAUUCUGCUAGUUUUCCAAAGUAAUUGGGCGUAUUUAGACUCCUACCAGCAAUGAUGAAAGUUCUGUUUCUCCAUACCUUUAGUAUUGCCCAUACUUUUAAUUGUAGUCUAUCUGGUGUGUAGGAAGUAGUAUGUUAUUGUUUUUUUUAAACUAGCUCAUUGAGAUAUAACAUAUAUAUAUAAAAUAAACCGCAUAUAUUUAAAGUAUACAAAUUGAUUUUUUUUUUUUUUUUGAGACGGAGUCUCACACUCUAGCCCAGCCUGGAGUGCAGUGGCGCUUGGCUCACUGCAAGCUCUGCCUCCCGGGUUUAUGCCAUCCUCCUGCCUCAGCCUCCCGAGUAGCUGGGACUACAGGUGCCUGCCACCACGCCUGGCUAAUUUUUUGUAUUUUUAAUAGAGAUGGGGUUUCACCGUGUUAGCCAGGAUGGUCUCGAUCUCCUGACCUCGUGAUCUGCCCGCUUCGGCCUCCCAAAGUGCUGGGAUUACAAGCAUGAGCCACCGCGCCCGGCCACAAAUUGAUGUUUUAAAAUAUGUAUACACACCUGAAAUGAUCACCACCAAAACAAUGAACAUACCCAUUAUCUCCAAAAGUUUUCUGUGCCCCUUUGUAAUUCCUCCCUUUCUUUAGCCUCACUCCCCCAUUCCCAAGCAGCCACUGAUAUGCUUUCCGUGAUGAUAGUUUGCAUUUUCUAGUUUUAAAUAAACAGAAUCACAUAGUAUCUACUCUUUGUUGUCUAGCUUAACUCUGCAUAAUUAUUUUAAGAUUCACCCAUGUCAUUGCAUGUAUCAAAAGUCCAUUUUUUUGCUGAGUACUAUUCCAUUGUACAGCUGUACUACAAUUUGUUAUUCCAGUCAUCUGUUGAUGGACAUUUGGUUUGUUUCCAUUUUGGGGCUAUUACAAAUAAAGCUGUUACAAACAUUCGUGUCUCAAGUCUUUGUAGGGACAUCUAUUUUCUUUCUCUUGGGUAAAUACCUAGGAGUAGAAUGUCUGGAUCACAUAGUAGGUGUAUGUUUAACUUUUUAAGAAACUGUUAAACUGUUUCCCAAAGGUUUUACCAUUUUACAAUCAUAUGUGUCUCAUAUGUAAAACCAGCAUAUGAGAGUUCAGGUUCCACCAUAUCCUUGCCAACACAUGAUACGGUCAGUCUUUUUAAUUUAGUCAUUCUAAUAGGUAUGCAAUAGUAUCUCAUUUUGCUUUUAAUUUGCAUUUCACCAAUGACUAAUGAUGUUGAACAUUUUUUUCAUGGGCUCAUUUGCCAUCUACAUAUGUUACUUGGUAAAAUGUUUGUUGAAAUAUUUUGCCCAUAAAAAACAUUGUUUUCUUAUUACUGAGUUUUAAGAGU